UAAUACCGCAUAUGCUCUACGGAGGAAAGCCGGGGAUCUUAGGACCUCGCGCUGCAGGGGCGGCCGAUGUCCGAUUAGCUAGUUGGUGAGGUAAAGGCUCACCAAGGCGACGAUCGGUAGCUGGUCUGAGAGGAUGAUCAGCCACACUGGGACUGAGACACGGCCCAGACUCCUACGGGAGGCAGCAGUGGGGAAUUUUGGACAAUGGGGGCAACCCUGAUCCAGCCAUGCCGCGUGCGGGAAGAAGGCCUUCGGGUUGUAAACCGCUUUUAGUCGGGAAGAAAAGGGCGAGGCUAAUACCCUCGUCACUUGACGGUACCGGCGGAAUAAGCACCGGCUAGCUACGUGCCAGCAGCCGCGGUAAUACGUAGGGUGCGAGCGUUAAUCGGAAUUACUGGGCGUAAAGCGUGCGUAGGCGGUUCGUUAAGUUCGUUGUGAAAGCCCCGGGCUCAACCUGGGAACUGCAAUGGAAACUGGCGGGCUAGAGUAGGCA
rnacentral:rRNA from 1 species